UACGGGGGGGGCAAGCGUUGUUCGGAUUUACUGGGCGUAAAGGGCGCGUAGGCGGUCGUGACAAGUCACUUGUGAAAUCUCCGGGCUUAACUCGGAACGGUCAAGUGAUACUGUCGGACUAGAGUACAGAAGGGGCAACUGGAAUUCUCGGUGUAGCGGUGAAAUGCGUAGAUAUCGAGAGGAACACCUGCGGCGAAGGCGGGUUGCUGGGCUGAUACUGACGCUGAGGCGCGAAAGCCAGGGGAGCGAACAGG
rnacentral:rRNA from 1 species